GACGUCCACACUGAGGACGUGACACGGUGCCUGGGCGUCCGUGUGGCGGGCAGCAAGGACACUGUCCGGAUUUGUCUGCUAUUUCCCCUGAGAAGGCGAGCGCCACGAUUCCGCGGAGCGCCCAGGGCUGGCACCAGAGCUCCAGCAGCCAUCUUAGACCAUGAAGUGACUUGAGGACAAUGUUUCCUGCUAAGGAUGGUGGAGCAGAAAGAUGGGAGAAGGCUGAUCCAGAAUGUUUGUGGGACCCCUGUGUCAACCCUGGACUGCCUUCUUCCAGAUUUUUUUUAAUGAGGGGCUGGACACUGCGUCAAUCACCGAUGGCCAGGAGUUAAUCGAUCACCCCACUUGACAGAACCUCCAUAAGCAUCUCAUAAGCGCCUCAGCUGCAGGGCUGGGAGAGGGUCACGCACCCCAACAGCACAGGGACAGAAGUCCCACACCAGGCCCCCGCCGGACCUCGCCCUGUGUGCGGCUUCAUCUGCCUGUUCAUCUGUAUCCUUUACCACAUCCUUUACAAUAAAUCAGUAG